GGGGCUGUAGCUCAGUGGUAGAGUGCUCACCUCACAGGAGAAGGCACUGGGUUUGAUCCUCAGCACCACA
rnacentral:tRNA from 1 species